rnacentral:rRNA from 1 species
UAGGGAAUCUUCCGCAAUGGACGAAAGUCUGACGGAGCAACGCCGCGUGAGUGAUGAAGGUUUUCGGAUCGUAAAGCUCUGUUGCCAGGGAAGAACGCUAUGGAGAGUAACUGCUCCAUAGGUGACGGUACCUGAGAAGAAAGCCCCGGCUAACUACGUGCCAGCAGCCGCGGUAAUACGUAGGGGGCAAGCGUUGUCCGGAAUUAUUGGGCGUAAAGCGCGCGCAGGCGGUUGAUUAAGUUUGGUGUCUAAGGCUGAGGCUCAACCUCAGUUCGCACUGAAAACUGGUCAACUUGAGUACAGAAGAGGAAAGUGGAAUUCCACGUGUAGCGGUGAAAUGCGUAGAUAUGUGGAGGAACACCAGUGGCGAAGGCGACUUUCUGGGCUGUAACUGACGCUGAGGCGCGAAAGCGUGGGUAGCAAACAGGAUUAGAUACCCCUGUAGUCC